CGUUGGCAAUAUGUCUACGCU
rnacentral:siRNA from 1 species